UUGCAAUUUUCUUUGCUUUUCCAUGAAUCGAUUGAAUUUUCUUACCACUAUGCUCAUUAGCUCUUUGUUUUCUAGUUCAACCUGCGAUUCAUCUUCAGAUUGUGCAAUCUUUGAAGCUUUUUUGUUUGUGGCUUUCAAGGCUAUAAACUUCUUUUCUUCAAUUUCUUCCUCUUCUUUCAGCCUUUCAAGUUUCAGCUCGUGUUCCCUCAAUUUGUCGAACAAGGUUGCCAUAUUCAUGCUUAUGAGAUCCUUUGACUCC
rnacentral:lncRNA from 1 species